AUUAACUUUAUUGGUUCAGUGCAUGAAUUAAGUUAUUGUUAGCAUAGAGGGUUAAACAUCGUAUUCAUCAACCUUCAGCCACACGGCCUUCAUCGCCUAUUACUAGCCUUUGAUAUUCGUGUUAAUCUACAAAUAUAUAUUUUAACAAAGGAUAUCAUUUAGUCUGAUUUAAAUACUGCAUUAAUAAGAUCUAGUUCUAUGAGGCUUCAAUAAAACGUGAUGUACUGGUUGCUGCCAAUCCCACUAAGGUGAUUGCAUCAUGUCUAUGGAUAGACCGUUUUUAGUGGUAGUGUGUUUACUUCAGGUAGUGGGAUCCAGCAACGUCAGUCAGAGACACGAGUUUUUUGAUGUCAUUCUUAACGAAGACUACGAUCCCCGGGUGCCCCCGUUACUUAAAGGU